rnacentral:misc_RNA from 1 species
ACACCUCAACUCUCAUGGCUUGCCAUGAUGAGCUUGGACUUAUGGGGGUCUUGCUGGCCUAUGGUCGGCUCCUCUCAAAUGAAUCAGCUUGCCAGUGUUUGGUGGCGUCACAGGUGUGAUAACUAUCUACGCUUGUGGUUUCCCACCAGGUAACCUUCAGCAAUGGAGAUUCGCUGGGGCUCAUAAAAGUCUCUCCUCGGUGAGGACAGCUCUUUGAAC